UCUCAAUCCCUUAAUAUUUGCAACUUCUUCACCAUAAUAUAUAUAUACACAUAUACAUACUCCUACUUUAUGUAAAAAAGCAGUGCAUUUGCAUACUGUGUAUUAAUCAGAGAUUUCAAAAUGUUCUAGAAAUGUAUACAGUGAAGAUUCACAAGGUGAUCUAACGUAAAUGAGUGAAAUCAUUUCUGUUUCAGAAAAGGGAGGCAGCAAAGGAUGAAAACUAAAUCUGACAAACAUGAGUCACACACCGAUUGCGAGCACAGUGACAUCCGAAAUUGGAACAGAGAGCUGCUGGGAACGGCCCAUUUAUGGAAAGGAAAUCCAGAGCAACCAUGAACCAAGGCAUACAACGGUAUGGACUACUGAGCCAAAAUCCAUCUGACUGAAUUCACAUGUGGAGAAACUACACGUGGACUUCUUAUACCUAACUAGCAAACUUUCAUUUUCUUCACUGAGGAACUGUUUAUGUCCAAAAAGUCCAGGACAAGCAAACAUUAGUCACUCUCCUGGAGAAGGUUUCUUGUCCCAAUCUGUUCUGAGUGUGUUAAUGAGAACAGGUGUUCCUCCCUGAAAAAAUCAGACUAGAGAAGGGUGAGGAUGCUUAAAAAACACUUCACAUUCUUUUUCCCCACUUCCUCUUACUCAGGGGAGCGUCACACCCUUUCAAUCAUUGUAUAUUGUCGACCUUGACACUUCGUAAAGCCCUGUUUCACUUUCUAGCCUUUCAGCACUGGGCUUGCUUCACACAUUCCGGCUCAAACCCAUGCUCUUCUGCUGCCUCUUGACGGAAGAAGCCGCGAAGGCAUCGGCUCAGAGGAAGUUGUGGGGUGCCUGAGAUUAGAGGCUAUUUUGGAGCAGCACAACCUUUGGGGCUGACCCUUUCGACAGCUGAACUGUUCCCUGGAGUUGCUUCGUACCCUCGGCUACCGCUGGCAUCAACUGCACUCACGUUCCUGCCUGAUCUGCUCAGUGCCGUGGAUGGGAAAGGGCCUCUCUUUGCUCUCUGGGCGUUUUUUAUCCCUCCA
rnacentral:lncRNA from 1 species